rnacentral:misc_RNA from 1 species
GAUGAAGAACGUAGCGAAAUGCGAUAAGUAAUGUGAAUUGCAGAAUUCAGUGAAUCAUCGAAUCUUUGAACGCACCUUGCGCCCUUUGGCUAUUCCGAAGGGCAUGCCUGUUUGAGUAUCAUGAACACCUCAACCCUCAUGGUUUGCCAUGAUGGGCUUGGACUUUGGGGGUCUUGCUGGAUUGUAGUCAGCUCCCCUUAAAUGAAUCAGCUUGCCAGUGUUUGGUGGCAUCACAGGUGUGAUAAAUAUCUACGCUUGUGGUUUUACAUCAGAUAACCUUCAGUGAUGGAGGUUCACUGGAGCUCAUAAAGGUGUCUAUCCUCUGUGAGGACAGCUCUUUGAAUGUUUGAUCUCAAAUCAGGCAGGACUACCCGCUGAACUUAAGCAUAUCAAUAAGCGGAGGA